rnacentral:rRNA from 1 species
GACGAACGCUGGCGGCGUGCUUAACACAUGCAAGUCGAACGGAAAGGCCCUGCUUUUGUGGGGUGCUCGAGUGGCGAACGGGUGAGUAACACGUGAGUAACCUGCCCUUGACUUUGGGAUAACUUCAGGAAACUGUGGCUAAUACCGGAUAGGAGCUCCUGCUGCAUGGUGGGGGUUGGAAAGUUUCGGCGGUUGGGGAUGGACUCGCGGCUUAUCAGCUUGUUGGUGGGGUAGUGGCUUACCAAGGCUUUGACGGGUAGCCGGCCUGAGAGGGUGACCGGCCACAUUGGGACUGAGAUACGGCCCAGACUCCUACGGGAGGAAGCAGUGGGGAAUAGUGCACAAUGGGCGGAAGCCUGAUGCAGCAACGCCGCGUGCGGGAUGACGGCCUUCGGGUUGUAAACCGCUUUCGCCUGUGACGAAGAGUGAGUGACGGUAAUGGGUAAAGAAGCACCGGCUAACUACGUG